CAGCGUGUAGCAUUUAGCGUUAGCAUCACAGUGUGUAGCACUAACUCUCAUCCAGUCAGUGUGCUGUUAAACUUCAGAGCUCCAGAUAUUUGUUGUGAAACUCAGAGCUUUGACAUCUUUUAUCUUCUCUAAUGUGUGUUUACACUCUUUACCAUGAUACUCAGGUAGCGCUGUCUGUCUCACACUCAUAUCUUCAGCUCAUCAUCUCAUGACGUGGAGAUGGAUCAGGACACGGUGAAAGAACAACAUGAGAUCCAGACUGAAGAUCAGAGGUGAGACCACGUCAGAGCUCAGCACUCACACCUCUGUACAUCAGUGUUACACUGUGUGUGUGUGUGUGUGUGUGUGUGUGUGUGUGUGUGUGUGUGUGUGUGUGUGUGUGUGUCAGCUGUGUGUCCUUUAGAAGUGACCGGUCCAUGGGCAGACUCAUUGACUUCAAAGGAGGUCCAUCUACUGACCCACAAACCAAGCCCAGACUAAGUGGACCAGGACCUGAACCCGAACCCAGCUGUGUGUCCUUUAGAAGUAACAAGUCCAUGUCCAGACACAUUGUAUUCAAAGGUGGUCCAUCUACUAACCCACGUUGAGUGAACAAAUAAUAAGGGUGCUUGUUGUCUUCCUGAUAGUCCAGUUUCUUCACACUCGACACUGAUGAAGCACCAGUAAACAUGACUCAGCACUUUUGAUGGA
rnacentral:lncRNA from 1 species